rnacentral:rRNA from 2 species
GUUGUAUAGUCAAGUAAUUAAGUGCAUGUGGUGGAUGCCUUGGCAGUCAGAGGCGAUGAAAGACGUGAUAGCCUGCGAAAAGCUCCGGGGAGGCGGCAAAUAUCCUUUGAUCCGGAGAUGUCUGAAUGGGGGAACCCACCUACUUUAAGGUAGGUAUUGCAACAUGAAUACAUAGUGUUGCAAGGCGAACGAGGGGAAGUGAAACAUCUCAGUACCCUUAGGAAAAGAAAUCAAUUGAGAUUCCCUCAGUAGCGGCGAGCGAACGGGGAUCAGCCCAUUAAGUUAUGUGUGUUUUAGUGGAACGCUCUGGGAAGUGCGAACGUAGAGGGUGAUAUUCCCGUACACGAAAGGGCACACAUAAUGAUGACGAGUAGGGCGAGGCACGUGAAACCUUGUCUGAAUAUGGGGGGACCAUCCUCCAAGGCUAAAUACUCCUGACUGACCGAUAGUGAACCAGUACCGUGAGGGAAAGGCGAAAAGAACCCCUGUGAGGGGAGUGAAAUAGAUCCUGAAACCGCAUGCAUACAAGCAGUGGGAGCACCUUCGUGGUGUGACUGCGUACCUUUUGUAUAAUGGGUCAGCGACUUAUAUUCAGUAG